AUGCACACGGUUUGGUCAGCGUGCCUGGGGAGCGCCUGUGUCUCCAGCUCUUUCCCCCCAAUGGGCUGGGCUUUGAGUGAGGGUGCAGAUGGUGCAGCUGGCAGGGCUAUUGAUCCUCUCUGGCCCCUCGUUUCAGGCAAAGCCUGCCUGCCUCACCCUUGGCUGGGUAAACCCCAGUCCAGCUGGAGGCAGGGACAGAAACAUUUGCAGGGCCCAGGUCUGUCUGUUUGCUCUCGGAGCCAGACUGGCCUGUUCCUUGCAGGUCUCCUGGGAGGCUGUGGCUUCCUUGAAUUUCUGAUUAACUCUUCCUUGACUGAGUCUAUGGGGGAUCCUGGGCAACCGCACUGGGGAACUCUGUCCUUGGCUUUGCAUCCCACCAAUGCCACACCGCACAUACCAUAUACAACACACACAGCACACCACAUGCACACAUAUCACACCACAUACAUAAACAUUGCACCACACACACCACACACCACAUGUGCGCAUACCACACCACAUACACAAACACCACUCCACACACACGUCCUAACACCACACCGCAUACACACAUACACACACCACAUUUAUACUCCACACCCCACACCACCUGCACAAACACCACACCCCAAAGGCCACACCACACACACAAGCAUUAAACUACACACAAAACAUUACAUGCACAAACAAUGCACCACACACCCCAUACCACGUGCACAAACACUGCAACACACACAGCAUACCAUGUGCACAUAUUACACACCACAUGCACAAACACCACACCACAUACACACCCUAUAUACCACAUAUGCGCCAUACCUCAUGCAUGCACACUACACCACACACACACACACACACACACACACACACCACGUACACACCCCACAUACAUCACAUGCACAUAUAAAACACCACAUGAACAAACACCACACCACAUACACACCCUACAUGCUACACUAUACACCCCCACAUAUCACAUCACACGCAUACACGCCACACAUACACACACACACUCUCCCUCUGCCUCCAAUGCACACUGCACAUCUCCCACACCUGCAGUCCACCCUCUGUUUUCUUAUUGGCUCCCUGACCCUUAGCAUCAAAGGGAUUCCUGAGGCAAAGCCUGCAAGGUUUCCUCCCCAGAAAGAGCCCUUCCUGAGGACACUGAGAAUAAGGGAACACAUCAGUCUGUUUUUCCGGCCAGUUGUUCAUUCCCCACAUUUCUGA
rnacentral:lncRNA from 1 species